rnacentral:rRNA from 1 species
AUUGAACGCUGGCGGCAUGCUUUACACAUGCAAGUCGAACGGUAACAGGCCGCAAGGUGCUGACGAGUGGCGAACGGGUGAGUAAUGCAUCGGAACGUGCCCAGUCGUGGGGGAUAACGCAGCGAAAGCUGUGCUAAUACCGCAUACGAUCUAUGGAUGAAAGCGGGGGACCGUAAGGCCUCGCGCGAUUGGAGCGGCCGAUGUCAGAUUAGGUAGUUGGUGGGGUAAAGGCUCACCAAGCCAACGAUCUGUAGCUGGUCUGAGAGGACGACCAGCCACACUGGGACUGAGACACGGCCCAGACGCCUACGGGAGGCAGCAGUGGGGAAUUUUGGACAAUGGGCGCAAGCCUGAUCCAGCAAUGCCGCGUGCAGGAAGAAGGCCUUCGGGUUGUAAACUGCUUUUGUACGGAACGAAACGGUCUGGGUUAAUACCUCGGACUAAUGACGGUACCGUAAGAAUAAGCACCGGCUAACUACGUGCCAGCCGCCGCAGUAACAC